rnacentral:rRNA from 1 species
UACGAAGGGAGCUAGCGUUGUUCGGAAUCACUGGGCGUAAAGCGCACGUAGGCGGAUGUGUCAGUCAGGGGGUGAAAUCCCGGAGCUCAACUUCGGAACGGCCUUUGAUACAGCACGUCUUGAGUCCGGAAGAGGUGGGUGGAAUUCCUAGUGUAGAGGUGAAAAUUCGUAGAUAUUAGGAAGAACACCGGUGGCGAAGGCGGCCCACUGGUCCGGUACUGACGCUGAGGCGCGAAAGCGUGGGGGAGCAAACAGG